CUACGGGGGGCUCCAGUGGGGGAUAUUGCACAAUGGAGGAAACUCUGAUGCAGCAACGCCGCGUGAGGGAAGAAGGUUUUCGGAUUGUAAACCUCUGUUUUUAGUGAAGAAAAAAAUGACGGUAGCUAAAGAGGAAGCCACGGCUAACUACGUGCCAGCAGCCGCGGUAAUACGUAGGUGGCAAGCGUUGUCCGGAUUUACUGGGUGUAAAGGGUGCGCAGGCGGGACUGCAAGUUGGAUGUGAAAAUCUGAGGCUCAACCUCAGAACUGCAUCCAAAACUGUGGUUCUUGAGUGGAGUAGAGGUAAGCGGAAUUCCGAGUGUAGCGGUGAAAUGCGUAGAUAUUCGGAGGAACACCAGUGGCGAAGGCGGCUUACUGGGCUCUAACUGACGCUGAGGCACGAAAGCAUGGGUAGCAAACAGGAUUAGAUACCCGCGUAGUC
rnacentral:rRNA from 1 species